rnacentral:rRNA from 1 species
GACGAAGGACCCCGAGCGUUAUCCGGAUUCAUUGGGUUUAAAGGGUGCGUAGGCGGACUUAUAAGUCAGUGGUGAAAUCUCCAGGCUCAACUUGGAAACUGCCAUUGAUACUGUUAGUCUUGAAUCUAGCUGAUGUGGGCGGAAUAUGACAUGUAGCGGUGAAAUGCUUAGAUAUGUCAUAGAACACCGAUUGCGAAGGCAGCUCACAAAACUAGUAUUGACGCUGAGGCACGAAAGUGC